rnacentral:rRNA from 1 species
UGCAGUUCGAGCGAACACUUUCGGUGGUUAGCGGCGGACGGGUGAGUAACACGUGGGCAACCUGCCUGUAAGACUGGGAUAACACCGGGAAACCGGUGCUAAUACCGGAUAAUCCAUUUCCUCUCAUGAGGAAAUGCUGAAAGUCGGUUUCGGCUGACACUUACAGAUGGGCCCGCGGCGCAUUAGCUAGUUGGUGAGGUAACGGCUCACCAAGGCGACGAUGCGUAGCCGACCUGAGAGGGUGAUCGGCCACACUGGGACUGAGACACGGCCCAGACUCCUACGGGAGGCAGCAGUAGGGAAUCUUCCACAAUGGACGAAAGUCUGAUGGAGCAACGCCGCGUGAGCGAUGAAGGCCUUCGGGUCGUAAAGCUCUGUUGUUAGGGAAGAACAAGUACCGGAGUAACUGCCGGUACCUUGACGGUACCUAACCAGAAAGCCACGGCUAACUACGUGCCAGCAGCCGCGGUAAUACGUACGUGGCAAGCGUUGUCCGGAAUUAUUGGGCGUAAAGCGCGCGCAGGCGGUCCUUUAAGUCUGAUGUGAAAGCCCACGGCUCAACCGUGGAGGGUCAUUGGAAACUGGGGGACUUGAGUGCAG